rnacentral:tRNA from 1 species
CCAGAGGUAGCUCAGAUGGUUAGAGCGCACGACUGAUAAUCGUGAAGUCAGAGGUUCGAAUCCUCUUUUCUGGACCA